rnacentral:rRNA from 1 species
AGAGUUUGAUCAUUGCUCAGAUUGAACGCUGGCGGCAGGCUUAACACAUGCAAGUCGAGCGGUAGCACAAGGGAGCUUGCUCCCUGGGUGACGAGCGGCGGACGGGUGAGUAAUGUCUGGGAAACUGCCUGAUGGAGGGGGAUAACUACUGGAAACGGUAGCUAAUACCGCAUAACGUCGCAAGACCAAAGAGGGGGACCUUCGGGCCUCUUGCCAUCAGAUGUGCCCAGAUGGGAUUAGCUAGUAGGUGGGGUAAUGGCUCACCUAGGCGACGAUCCCUAGCUGGUCUGAGAGGAUGACCAGCCACACUGGAACUGAGACACGGUCCAGACUCCUACGGGAGGCAGCAGUGGGGAAUAUUGCACAAUGGGCGCAAGCCUGAUGCAGCCAUGCCGCGUGUGUGAAGAAGGCCUUCGGGUUGUAAAGCACUUUCAGCGAGGAGGAAGGUGGUGAGCUUAAUACGCUCAUCAAUGACGUUACUC